rnacentral:rRNA from 1 species
CUACGGGAUGCAGCAGUGGGGAAUAUUGGACAAUGGGGGAAACCCUGAUCCAGCAAUGCCGCGUGUGUGAAGAAGGCCUGCGGGUUGUAAAGCACUUUCGGUUGGGAGGACUGCUUCUAGCACUAAUAUUGUUGGAAGUUGACGUUACCUUCAGAAGAAGCACAGGCUAACUCCGUGCCAGCAGCCGCGGUAAUACGGAGGGUGCAAGCGUGAAUCGGAAUUACUGGGCGUAAAGCGCGCGUAGGCGGCUAGAUCAGUCGGGUGUGAAAGCCCCGGGCUUAACCUGGGAACUGCAUCCGAUACUGUCUAGCUUGAGUACAAGAGAGGAGAGUGGAAUUCCACAUGUAGCGGUGAAAUGCGUAGAUAUGUGGAGGAACACCAAUGGCGAAGGCAGCUCUCUGGCCUGAUACUGACGCUGAGGUGCGAAAGCGUGGGGAGCAAACAGGAUUAGAUACCCCCGUAGUC